rnacentral:pre_miRNA from 1 species
AGGAGGAACAGCCCCAGUGGCGGGGCCAGCUCUGGAGCCCUGGAGUCAGCCCCCGCAGGAACUCCGGAGCUCUCGGUCUGCAGGGCCUGGAGGCUCCGGGGUGGG